rnacentral:rRNA from 1 species
AUUGAACGCUGGCGGCAUGCCUUACACAUGCAAGUCGAACGGCAGCACGGGGGCAACCCUGGUGGCGAGUGGCGAACGGGUGAGUAAAGCAUCGGAACGUACCCGGGAGUGGGGGAUAACGUAGCGAAAGUUACGCUAAUACCGCAUAUUCUCUGAGGAGGAAAGAGGGGGAUCGCAAGACCUCUUGCUUUCGGAGCGGCCGAUGUCGGAUUAGCUAGUUGGUGGGGUAAAGGCCUACCAAGGCGACGAUCCGUAGCGGGUCUGAGAGGAUGAUCCGCCACACUGGGACUGAGACACGGCCCAGACUCCUACGGGAGGCAGCAGUGGGGAAUUUUGGACAAUGGGGGCAACCCUGAUCCAGCCAUGCCGCGUGAGUGAAGAAGGCCUUCGGGUUGUAAAGCUCUUUCGGCCGGGAAGAAAUCGCCGUUUUUAAUACAGACGGUGGAUGACGGUACCGGAAUAAGAAGCACCGGCUAACUACGUGCCAGCAGCCGCAGUAACAC